UAAAAAGAAAGAAAGAAUUCAGAUUGGAAGAAGCAGAAAUACUAAGUAAGCAGGGAACUGAGAUGUAGUCCACAGUUGGAGACUGGCUAGUGUGACCAUUUGAUCCUUUCUGAGCAAGACACAUUGGAAUUUCAAGGCUAGAUCUUCUGCAGAGUGUGGAUUAUUGACCUAUGCAAGGUGGUCUAUGCUUUCACUGGCUCCAGGGCAAACGACUGCAAUACAAUCUAAUUGGGAUCAACUUGAAGGCCAUAUGGAAACUACAACUAGUCCAACAUGCUGUGUCUGCUAAGCAAGACUGACCAACAAGGAUACAUCAUGCUCUUCGUUGACUCCAAUUCAGAUUCCAGAUCAGUUUCAAGUUUCUGGUCCUUAGCUUUAAAGCUCUCAAUGAUAAAGGGUUAAAUAUUGUCAGGGACCAUCUCUUCCCCCCAUAUUCUGCCACAGAAAUUUUGACCAAAGUGUGAAAUUCUCAGAGGCAGAAUAUUCUUUCAGUAAAGGACUAUUACAUAAAACACUACCACUGAAGAUCUGCCUGAGCUUGACCUUUGCCAUGUAAGGCCCUCUGGAAGCUCUUUAAGCAGACUUUUCCUCAACACCAGGGGGGCAUAAGGACUCGGGUAUGUUUCUCAAUAUCAUCACCUGAGAUGGCAGCCUAAAUUAGGGAAGCUAGGUCUACCUUUGGACAUAUAUAACAGUGAUCUUAACUUUGUUAUGGCUCCUGGAUACAAUGGUGAUGGGUGUAUUAGAAAUGCAUAGAGAGAUUUACACUAUCUCCAGGCUCUUAGUACUAACUAGACUCAGGAGCUAGCAUGAGGAGCUUGUUUUCAAUUAAGACAUAUUGGGAACAUCAUAAAGAUUCACUGUUCUAGAUCUCUUUGAUCAGCAUUGCAUGCAGAAUCAGACCCAAUUUAUCGUCAUGGAAAGGCCACUAACUCUACUGUGACAAUUACCUUCUGAAGGAGGAGAAUUUGCAAUGAUUUGUCAACUAUUCAAGGAGUGAAGUGCAGAAGAAGCUCUGGCUCUGGGAUAUUGGGAACUAUUGCUAUUUCUGCAUUAGGCCACUUCAGGUGGAACACACUUUCAAUGGAGUCUUUAGACUUGUCUCCCUAACUCAAAGGAUCAUAAUGGCAGCAUAACUUUGCUUUCUAAACAGCCUACAAAUUAUUUGAGGAACUAUCAUUGUAUUUUUACCUGCUGUGCUGAAAUGGUAUGUUGAGGGCAUGCAGCCAUGUCAAGCCCACUCCCUUUUUCAAUUCUCAAACCCACCAGUUAACGCUCUAACUUUAUUAAUUCUGUCAAAGGUCAUGAAAGUCAAAAAUCAGUAAAUAAAACAUUUUUGAUUUUCUGUUUACACUCGUAUAUGACAAGCAGUCAAAGGCCUUCAAAUAAUCAGUGACACUCAUAACAAGUGGUCAAUUAGAGUCUCAUGCUUUCCCCAUUAAAAACUAAUCUGA